rnacentral:rRNA from 1 species
GUAUAUAACUACAAGACGAGAAGACCCUUUGGAGCUUAAGGUACAGACCCAAUCGCGUCAAACAACUUGCCAAAGAGCCCGAACUUAGCGAAUACUGGAAUCUUACCUUCGGUUGGGGCGACCACGGAGGAAAAAAUAGCCUCCGAGUGGACCGGGAUUAUUACCCUAAAGUCAAGAGGGACACCUCUAAGCCACAGAACAUCUGACCAAAUAUGAUCCGGCCACACAGGCCGAUCAACGAACCAAGUUACCCUAGGGAUAACAGCGCAAUCCUCUCCCAGAGUCCAUAUCGACGAGGG